GUGUUUUGCUGCAAAUAAGCUCUUAGCCUGUAUUAGAUGCAAGAAUAGAACCAUAGAAUUACAUAUUAUUUUUUAUAUAUAGUUUUUAUAUAUUAAUAUAAUCUUUGCAAAUGUAGAGAUUAUGCACACAAUAGUAAAAAUUGGCAUUUGGAAGGACUAGCAAAGGAUAUGUCAUACACUAAGGAGAAUCUUGGAGCAGCAGUGACAUUGCCAUGACAGUCAGCCAGGGGCAUCUAAGACCACCUGGGUCACAUUGCCAUGCUUACAUUGCCAUCAUGAAAGAUGCUGCCAAAUAGUUUUCUAAAUCAGUCCCAAAUGUGGCCAGGCCUCCAUGUUGGGCCAGUCAAGAGCUGCCAGCCAACAGAUCACAAGCACUUGAAGGCAAUAGAUGCUCCCAUUGACUCAUAUGAGUCCAGAAGAUUAUGUUUUCCUUAGCAGCAUGGCAUCAGAGGAGCACUGAGUACUCAAGAGAACAACUGGAAAGGCAAAGCCCUGGGCAUCACAUUCAGCUCUACUUCACUUUCAUGUGUGAGUUGGCUAACGUGACUAAGGGACACGAGGAGCACGUGCUAUUCUCUACCUAUGAGUACUCAAGCUUCAUUUCCUGCUAAAGUAUCCAGGUGCACUGCUGAGCUGCUGGUCUGUCUUGAAGGCUGCAAUUUCAGUGAGGCAAAUCCAUUAUCCAGAUACAUAUGCUCUCUGCAGAUGAUCCUGAAUCCAGCAAAAUCAAGGGGAGACCACACGUGAAGAUCAGGCACACCAGCUGCUCCACGCAGGCACGACUUUGUUGAGUGAGACCACAUAACCACAUUACUUCACACCAGGAGAAACAAUGUACUGAAGUUGAUUUUAAGUGAUCUCUUAAAAUUGACUCAAUCUCUCAGUUCACAGUAGUCCAAGUACUUGAAAUAUGUCAGUAGAUUCAUUGCUAAUAUUAUGUUAAUUUGUGCUCCCAGGUACGUUGAAGGAAUUUCUAGUAAUAUGACUAGGAGUAAUGAACAAGCAUAGAGAGAACUGAUUUUAAGAGAACUUACUUAUGCUCUAAAAAUAUGUUACCAUCAUCUCAAAGCUGUCUUUUUGCUUUCUUGUCACAGACACUUUCUAUUUUCCUUCAAUCAUUUCCCAAACUGCAUACAAGCAUUUUAAGUCCUUGUGCAACUUGGAGUUUUAACACACUUUUGCCUAAUUUCAAGAAUUAUGGGGAAUGUUUGCUGUACAUGUGAUUUUUGUUUGAGCUAUCCUGUCAAAGACACACAUGCUGGUCUUCAUCCCUUUUGUUACAAAAUACAAUCAAUGCAGUGUGUAUGUGUUUAUCUAUACAUCACACUCUCCAGUCUGCGUGACAUAUUUGUGGUCUGUUUUUCUAAAAUCAUAAUUGUGACUAUGUAAGCCUUCCAAUCCUGCACUUGGAAAGUCUCCCAGAUUUCUUCCUGAUUCCCAUUGAGAACUCCUGUGCACCAGCAGUAUUUUGAGAAUUAAAAAAUAUAUAUAUAGGUAAUUAUGUACUUAGCUAUCUUAUGUCACUAAAUCACAUGCUGAUAAGUAGCUGCCAAAUUUUAGCCCUGUAUUCUUGGUUUUCUCCAGCACUGGGAGCCUUGCAUGUGUCAGAGGGAUUAUUGGCACUUUCCCAGGGAGGUGCCAGCUGUGCUUGAACCAGCUGUGCUUCUCACUUCUGCCUCUGUAUCACUGCCUGUGUCUUUAGGCACAGUCAUUGAUGGUGAAUAUGUGCUUUAAUUUGAACUUCAGCAGUUUAAGUUCAAUUAUGGCUUUACUUACUUUUGACUUUUAGGACAAAAUUACUUCUUCAAAAGUUGCUGCUUGAUUAAACUGUCUGUGUUCAAUCAUUACCAAUGCUUUUGUCUUACAAUUUAUUUUCUCAAUUGACAAUUACAGAACAAAUGAUAUUUAAUCAUGGUGUGUUUAUACUAGAUAUAUACAUAGUAAUACAUUCUUAUAUCUGUGUCUCAUAUAGUUUUGUGCACAAUGUAAAUAGCACAUAUUUUCUAAACAACACUUAUGCUUCAACAGCCUAAAUCUCCAUUUAUCCCACAAAUAAAUUUCUCCAAACCUUCAACCCAGAAAGCUAAACACUUGGUUGAAGUGGUGAACCCCUAACUUAAUGACGUGGUCUGUGCUGACGUCACUGGGUAUGACAGUAAAUCCACAGCAUAAAACACAGCCAACAUAAUGUCACCACAUCAAGUCUUAAGAUAAACUAAACCCCUUUCCAUUAAAAAAAAAAACUUUGUUUUCAUAGUUGGAGUAUUUUGCAGAAAUUUGAUUGUAUAAACAAAAUUGUCAAUUGAGAAUAAUGUACACUGUUCAUUUUAUUUCUUUUUAAUAUGACAUAUUUCAAUAAAAGAUAUAUUUCAUCAUUAUAAUUACUGUUAUUUGACUUUUAAUCUGUACUACUGAUUAUACCUUUUUAACACUGUAAUAUACAAUGACGAAGGACAUUCCCUGGGUUAAAGUGACAACAUUUUCUAGCUUCCUGUCUAAUGUUGACAACAAAGUUCCAGUUUACUUUUCUCCCUUUCAAUAUUUUAUAUUUUAUUUUUUAUUUCAGAAUAACCAAUGAAUUGUAAAUUCUGAUUUCUGUUCAAGACAAAAACUGAAGAAUUUAUAAUUUAUAUUUAUUUAUGUACUUUCUCUGUGCCUCAGUUUCUCGUGUUGCAUAAAGGAAAAAAGAUGGACCUUCCAUUGUAAAGUACCUUGAGAUUUACUUAUGAAAAUAAGUUUAUGUAAUAUUUAUUUGGUCUUGCUUAUCAUGCUCUUAUUCUUUUUCACCAAGUCCUCUAAGGAACAUAUUCUCAGAAGCAUGAUGCUACUCAAAAACACACUGGAGGAGCAUGGAGCCAUGGGGCUGGUGCAAGCACUUUCAGCUCAUCCUCAGCUUUGUCCUUUCUGCCUUAAGCUGGUGUCCAACUGCACCCACCCAUGGCAAGUGGUGGCAGAAGUCUACAAUCCUGUGUGUCUGAUUUCCCCUUUAGGAGAAGGAGCAGGGAAGAGAAAGUCUUGAAUAUAAUGAUCUCUUGCAUUUUAAUGUUUCACUAACUUGCCAUGUUAUGUUUAAAAACCAGACCACAACCCUGCAGUGGCCACGUCUUCGUUACUACACCCAAGGCAAUGGAGUCAUCACUGGGAUCUCAGUUGAGUCCUGUCCUGUCAUGGAACAGCUGUCUUGAAUUAAAAGCAGUGACUCAGAUCAGGAAAUUGGCAUACCUCUUUUCAUACUCUUCCGCAAUGCCUUCAGACGAUUGUCUCAGUUAAGCUUUGUGACUUUUGGCAUGAAUUUUACCAGCUCCAAGAAGGAAGAGAAUGUUGCAUAUUUUCUCUAAGCCAACUCAAAUCAUUCGUCUAUUUCUACUUCAUUCUGCUGUCCUUGUCUAAAUUGAUUGGAAAAAUUUACCCCUUGCACCUGACUUUCUGUAGCCUCAGUAAUACCUUUGUAGACUCAUUAUUUCUGAUCUUUUUUUUUUGACAUGUACUCUCUUCCUGUUUAAUGAAGGAGGAGAAAGAAGAGGAAAAAGACUGCCUUCAAUCUUUCUGCUGGAGCUGAUGCUAUAUACUUUCUUGUGGAAAAAAGUUGUGUGAAAAAAUAAUCUGUAAGUGUGAAUGGCACGAAAAUGGAAUUAUCCAUCAAAUGGAGGGAGUGAUUCCUCCAAGUCAGGUAUGUAAGUUUGGGUGGCAAAAGCAAAUGGCUUCAUAAUUUUGAGGAAUUUCUCUCCCUCUCCUUCUCCCAUGACUGAAGAUCAUUUAUCCUUUGAGAAAGAAAAAGAAGGCUGGUAUAAAUUAAGAAUGGUAAUGUAAAAGCUUAUACCCACUGCAUAUAAAUCUUUCAAAUUAAUACAAGCAUUAAAUUGCCAAAGUUUUUUCCAUAUACUGCAAAUAUUAAACAUGACAUGCCUGCUAGGGUUGGUAUAAAGUUUUGUCAACAUUUUUGGCAUACAGUUUCUCAGCCUGGGGUCAAUAUUUUCUUGACCAAAUUUUGUUGUUUCAGUUGUCUUUUACCUCAUAUAUUGUAACGCAAACAUUUCCCAGAAAAAAGAAAUUUGGCAGGCUAUUAGUCCAUAAUGUGGUCUAAUGCCUUUGGGUAUUUUUUUAAACGUAAAUCAUUGAGAUAUUUAAGGUUUGAGGUUUAAGAACUGUACACAAACUUUAACAACUUCUUUUAAAAAUAUUUAGUAUGCAUAUUUACUACAUAUGUAUCUUAUAGAGACUAGAGAUUAAACUGGAGAUUACUUGCUAAAAUAUGCAAACUGCUGUCCAUGAAUAAACAUCCUCAUGAACUCCUAUUGAAAGUUUCUUAUUUAAAAAAUGUUGUUUAAAACUACAAUGAAAGCAAAGGGAAGUAAGAUGGGAAGAGGAAAAAAGCAAUGUUUAAGUAACUUUAAUGAUUUAACUUGGCUACAGAAAGUAAAGAAGUUCAUUUUCUUUCUCCUGGGAUCUCAUCCAAAGCCCACUAUGGUCAAAAGAAGGCUUUCCACCUAUUCUCAUUUGUGCUACACUCAGACAGUGCUCUGUUGCUCAAGUAUUGAGCUAUGCUGAUGUCAUGUAGCAGAAGAUCCCGCAGCACAGCAGCCCACCUAUCUGCCAUGUGUAUUACAUAGGUUUCAAGGUAAGUUACUUGAGGCAAAGGACCUCUCCUCUGGAUCAUCCUUCCUGUAUCUGCAAAGUUCAGUGAGUUUUCCACUUUUGCCUUGAUAUAUCUGUGUCUACCAGUUAUUCAUUAUAACUCUCACUUAAAGAGGAAAAUUUUAGAAUCCUGCAAAUGUACAAAUGUCUCACCAUGUAUGUGCACGUGACAGUUCUAGGUAUCACAUAGCAUCCACCAGCCUGAGAGUUAUCUCAUUUAUAACGUCAUUUCAACUUUCACUGUAACAUAAGUCCAGGAAUACAUUUUGUAGUUUCUUUUAGGUAUGAAUGACAGGAUUUGUGUAAUCAAUGAACUCUGGCACAAUAACAUGCAAUAUUCUUUAGAAUGCAAUUCCUGCAGCUUGUAGACAAUCUGUUCCUUAUGGUGAUUUCUGGGAGCUUGUAAACUCUCACUAAGAUGCUGGCAACAUCCACCAAGCGUCUCAGACACUUUGUCUUUCUGAACCUGAACUUUUUAAAUAGUGGUUAAACAUGUUGUCUGCUUUAGUUUCCUGUCUAUCUUCAUCAUAAGUCAGCACCUGUUUCCAAUAAAUUAUAUGCAGAGCUGUAUCAGCAACACCUUGGCAGCAGCUGCCACCCUGAAAAGCAGAAUGCCCUUGAGGACAAUACACCUGUGAACACAUAAAGUGUUUAUUUAACUGAAAGCCAAAACUUUAAGUUACAUAAAGCAAUUAUCCAAAGCCUAAUAUAUGCUCAUUAUUAACACAAAAUAACCUUGUUCUUAAAAAAAAAAAUGAUAAUCUAUUUAAAGGAUUUUUUUCCAAAACCCAGGGAAAUGGACUGGCACUGUGAAUCUGCUAUUAGCCUAGGACUUGAAAGUCUGAUGGUGGGAAGACGUGUGGGGGAGGCUGCCUGUGCAGAGUAACAAAGUAUUAGGGCACAGAUUUGGCAUGCAUUAUACACAGAGAUGAGAGAAAGAGCCAAGUCAUUUUCAGAGAGGCUGUUGAACAACACAUUUUUUCUUUUUGGUUCUGCAUUAUAAAGUAGCAUUUUGUUGCUGAAGCAUAGAACUACUGUGUUUAAGAUGGUGUUUGAUCUUACCAUCACUGUGAGGCAGAAGGAAAAAAUGGUCCUGGGAAAAAGGUCUUCCUAUUACUAGAGCAAACCUUUCAUAUCUAGUUUACUACCAGCGCUGCCCUUUUAUGUAACAGUGAGCCUAUUUUAGCAGCAGUAAGUAAAGAUAGUUGUUUUCAGCAGAUCACAGGAUAAUGCAAACAAAAAGAAAGCUAAUGAUUAAAAUAGAAUAGAAAUUGAGAUAAGCUCUCUAGUUUUGGUAAAGCAAGAAAUAACACAAGGAACUCUGUAGUUCAAGUAAUUUGUAAAUUUUCAUUUCUGUAUGGAUACUUCUAAAAUUAUUUGGCAAAUCAAUCUUGGAAAUCACAUAAAUGGAAAGAUAUUUUCUAAUUAAUGUUUCCAAAAUUAACACUGAACAUGAAAAUAUAUGUGUGCAUAUAUGUAUAUAUUUCUGUAUAAAUGCUCAUAAAAUGGUCACAUUUUUAACUCACAUUUUACAAUACAUUAAUUCCCUGUCUGAUGCUUUCUUAUGCCAUUUAAGUGAAAUACUUUCAGAUGAGAACAUAUUUUAAUACUUGUGUUUGGUGAGACCAGAAAGUUGUGGAAGGAUUUCUUAAGGAGUAUCACAGCUUUCUUAGGUGUCACUUUCUUAAACGCUUACAAUGCUGAAUGCAAAUAUAUGUAGAGUGAUGCCAGCAUGUAAAUAUUCUCCCAUCAAUUAUUUUGUACAGUUAGAUCCAGUGGGUUACUCUAUGUGCAAAAUAAAACUCUGAGAGAAUAACAUUAGCAUAACUCCAUGAUACAUGCCUUCUCUUUCAAACAGGAUUCCACACGUAGAUAAUGGAAGUAACUUAUUUUGUUUCAUAUUUUAUUAUCAGAUAGUUCAAAGUUUAACAUAGCAAUAUUUUUUCCAGUUGAGUUUUUUAAAACUGCUCUAUUUUCAUCUCUGAAUGAGCAUGGUACGUUUUAGAGAUCCAAGCUAAAACAUAUGGAUUAAGUCAAUGAAUCCAUUUCUAAAUCUCCAAUUAACUGUUCUGAUUACUCAUGCAAAUCUAUAUUUUUGCCAGGAUUUUUUUAUGUCUUUAAUACAUAGGCCAUUCCAGAAGUCAUAUCUCCUAUUUAUUUCCAUGGAUAUUACAACAGAUACAAUAACACUCAGCUACAAGAUACUAUUUUUUAGCAUAGUCACUGCAUAGUUUUGCAUUUUUACCAGAAACAUUCAGCAAGCGUUGACGUAUGUCAAUUGGCGCCAUUUUUUUCCUCAUGGAGGAAUUCACUUCCAGCCCUUUGCUUCAGACACACCUCCUUCUCAGACGCCAUUUUGUCAGACUGCCUCUCUGCUGUCAUCUGUCACACAGCAACAGUGUGUAACAAUAUUGGUGGGAAGUUCCACCUCCGCUGCCAUCCCACUUAUAUCAGCCUCUGAUGCCAUGGGCCAACAUCAUAAAACAGGAGACAUUACUUUUGGAGCAGCCCUCCAAGUAAAUUUAAGAGGAGUGCAUUUUCUUCUCCUAAUGUGUAUGAUAAUAUAACAGAAUGAUUGAUGUCAUGUAUAGAUACAGACCUGCUUCCAUUUCAGUUUUCUUGGCUGUGUUUGAUUAUAAUUUGAUAUAAAUGCUGUAAGCAUCCAGCUAGGAUUCCAACUAAAAGGAAAUUCAGUGACAGCAAUAAUAACAAUAAUAAUAAAAACACUAUUUAUUUUCCCCUGGAGUGUUUAGCUUUUAUUAAAUGUCAACAAAUCUAAAGACGUGCUUUGCUAAUCUAUGUUGCGUACAGGAAGUAAGUUACAAGCACAAGUUACUGAAGAUAAUGUUUGCUUUGUUUUAGAUAGACAGGAUCCAGAGAACUGAGAUCUCUCACAAGCAUUUAAAACCUACCGCUUGUUUUCCUUCAACAUUUGUCAGAUCUCCCACUGGUGAUCAAAGAAUGCCAAACUGAAAGCAGACCUAUAUUUGUGAUUGUUUGCUACCCUCUGCGAUAAGUUUAUCCAUCAGUUUCUUUCCUGUUGACUUUCAUGUGCGCUAUCACCCCAGGAUGUUAUAUUUGCUCAAACAGAAAAUGGAAUUACAAGCAGAAGAAGCCGCUGCAUGGAAGGUCUGCUGCUGUGCUGCCCGCUGGAGACUUGCCUUGCGGUGAGGGCUACAGACACAAAAACAGCUUGGCACUGGGAGCUCCAUCUUGCUGUGGCAUAAGCUGGCUUCCUGCUGACUUCAGAUCUGCCUUCACACAGGUUUCUCUAGAUUGAGAUGAUAGAGUGGAGGCAAGUACUGUGCACUGGACUAGAGAAGUGUGUCAGCCAUAAAGGACAGCACACAGCAGCUGUGCUUUGUCUGGCACAGCAUUUUGUAGGGUUAAAAGGGAGUGACUGGAGCGUAGAGCCAUGCCAGCCAGUUUAGUCUCACCCAAGAGGUGCCAGAUUUGGUUCAAUGUGGUGAUGAAACUGCUGAGGCUUUAUAAACCUAGAUUUACUUAAGGAGGGAUUGACAGAGCAAACUAUUACUAGGGUUUGUCACAGCAACCUGUAUGUCCAGAGUGGAAGUGCUAAGCCUACAAUAGGAGGAGCGUAGAGCUGUGGACCCCUGUUUGGGGUCCUUUCCCCCUGUUUGGGGGCCUUUCAACUACAACUUUCUUGCAGUGCAGUUUCUUCUACACAUCUCCGGUUUCACAUGAUAUAAUAUUUGGCCCAGUAAAUGCAAGGCUUGGGUUUGGUCUCUAGUCAGAUGGUACCCAAAAAUAAGCAUCAAAAUAUCCACCGCUUAUUAAAAAGUCAAGAAGAAGAAAGAACAGACACAAAAUACAGUUUAGUCACCAUAAAGAAACCACCACCAAAAAGGCUGGGUAUGUAUCAGAUCAUCUUUUUGCAGAACAUUUCUUCUGAGAUAUAUGAAGGUGGGAAGACAGCCACUGGUAGAAUUUCCCCUAUUGCAAUGCCUCUUUAUUAUUUCAUUAAAAUCCUUGUAAUACACAAAACAAUAAAAGAAAGCAACUUGAAAGUUCACAAUACACAAGAUUCAUCUUGCAUUCAUAGAACGUGUGUAACUCAUUUUGUGCUGAUGUUUGCUUGUUUAAGAAUGCACACCUGCUCAUUACUACUUGUGGAAAAUAAGUUUAUUAGCCAAGGAAUGUCUGGACUCUUACUGGAAAUCCCAUGUAGAUGCAGUUAUGCUUCCUGUUAAGACUCUUCUUCAGUAAAAAAUUUGCUCCCACUGUAGUAUUCCAGGGGCAAAAGAAGCAGCAAAUGAUAUGCAGGAAAGAUGCAGGUAAAAAUAUUCACAGAGAUUAAAAACGCUCCAUGCCUGAUCCUGAUGAUUCAGUGCAUCUUUCCCUGUUGAAUGUAAGUAUUCUGUUUCAUACUACAUUUAUGUCAGAUCAAAUACUCUACUCAGAAGCUGGGACUUUACUAGUGCCUCAUUUGUAUUUGUUUUUACUUUGAAUCAAAACAUAAAGGUGGUGACAGAAAAAAUUCUGAUGCUUUGCAUAGGGUUAAUAAUUGAGAGCCAUUCAGCUUUGUUAGUCAUCCAUUUGAAGGGAAUUUCCUUAUGCAAAGAGAUUGCUCCACUUAGGACAAAACCAUUUUUUUUCUUCAUCUCUGAACUCCAAAUGAGCAGGAGAGUGGAAAGAGCAAGGGAAGGCAAAGGAGCAAAGUGGGAAGCUUUGAUCGUUUCACUGAGAGGCUGAGGCAGUUUGAAAUGAAAGAAUCUCUCACCACAUUAAAAAAGGAGGGAGAAGAAGAAAGGAGAAAGGAAGAAAAAGAAGGAGAAACAGAGAGCACAGUGUGACAGAAACAAUGUGAAGCAGGAGCCCAAGCCUCACAGGAAGGGUUGUUGCCAGACCCUACAGAAGCUUUUUUGCAAAAAGUAGAGAAGGGGCAUCUUAGUUUCUUUAACAGACUCCAUAAAACCAAUGAAUUGCCAAGAGAAGCAAAGAAAUAACAGGAAGAAAAUGUAUUCAGGUGACUUUUCACUUUGCCUUGCUCGUUGCAUCUUUUGUGCAAUCUAGAUGAUAAAAUAAUUGAGUCUAAUCAGCCUGCAGCUAUAGAAAAGCUUGUGUCAAAGCUAUCAGGCAAGCUGCAAGAAGAACACUCCCCCAAAGUCUUAAGGGGUAGGCCUGAGAGAUCCUAUUUCACAGUGGAGAGCCAUACCCUGGGUGUGUGAGGGCUUUGCAGCCCACUUGGUUCAGGGUGAACUUAACAGAAAAGGCAUCAAACAGAAACUGGUUCAAAACUCAUGUGGAGCAGGUCUGCUAAUGCUGUGUCUCCAUUUUGAAAUGAGCAGAAAAUUAAUAACUAUAAUCUGUGGAUGUAAUUUUGUCAUUACCAGUUUGACUGGUACUUUAUUCCAGCCCAACUAAAUGAAUAGGACUUCCUGCUGGUCAAAGUGCUAUUACACUUGAGUCAGGAUCUACUACCCUUAUUGCAGCCUGAUUUUCUUCGCUUUAAUCUUUUAAGUUAUAAUGCCUACAACACCUGCUAGUAAGCACCCUGUUGGCAGGCCAACAAAUAGAGUGCCUUUCAAGCUGGAGAAGAACAUGGUGUCAGCUCUUCUGCUUCAGUUCAGCAUACAGCCCUAAGAGCAGCUCAUGGUUCCUGCAGGCCAAAGAGUAACCGAAGGUAAAAGGCUUUGCAAACUGGAGAUCAUGCAAUCCUUAUGUCAAAACUAUUCAGUGCAGACCUUAUGAUCCAACUUUCAAAUAGAUUCUGAUCUUUGUUUAGAAACCAUCUGGACAAAGAAAAAUAGCCAACUGUUUCAUCUCUGUCUCCUUUUUUUCACUCCAUCUCAAAAAUACAUUUUCAGAUCAGCAUUCCACGUCUCAGACCUUUUGUCAAGUGUGAUAAAGGAUUUUGAGAUAUCCAAUGCACGCUGGUUACACAUAAUGAAGUUUGUGCAAUCACAUGCUUGUGGCAUUAAAAUCCCAUGUUCCUUCCCCUUACAG
ensembl:lncRNA